UUCCAGCUCCAAUAGCGUAUAUUAAAGUUGUUGCAGUUAAAAAGCUCGUAGUUGAAUUUCGGGGUUAGUAGGUUGGUCAUGCCUCUGGUAUGUACUGGUCUCACUGAUUCCUCCUUCCUGAUGAGCCGUAAUGCCAUUAAUUUGGUGUUGCGGGGAAUUUGGACUGUUACUUUGAAAAAAUUAGAGUGUUUAAAGCAAGCUAACGCUUGAAUACAUUAGCAUGGAAUAAUGAAAUAGGACGUUCGAUCCUAUUUUGUUGGUUUCUAGGAUUGACGUAAUGAUUAAUAGGGAUAGUUGGGGGCAUUAGUAUUCAAUUGUCAGAGGUGAAAUUCUUGGAUUUAUUGAAGACUAACUACUGCGAAAGCAUUUGCCAAGGAUGUUUUCAUUAAUCAAGAACGAAAGUUAGGGGAUCGAAGACGAUCAGAUACCGUCGUAGUCUUAACCAUAAACUAUGCCGGCUAGGGAUCGGAUGAUGUUAAUUUUUUAAUGACUCA
rnacentral:rRNA from 1 species